GAAACAGUGGCUAAGACUGGAUAGGAAGAUAAAAGGCAUCUUUUAUCUUUUAAAAGACCUAGUAAUAGGUAUGCUUUAGGAGGGGCUUGCGCCAUAUUAGUUAGUUGGUAGGGUAAUGGCCUACCAAGACGAUGAUGUGUAGCUGGACUGAGAGGUUGAACAGCCACAUUGGGACUGAGACACGGCCCAAACUCCUACGGGAGGCGGCAGUAGGGAAUUUUCGGCAAUGGAGGAAACUCUGACCGAGCAACGCCGCGUGAAUGACGAAGUACUUCGGUAUGCAAAGUUCUUUUAUCAAGGAAGAAAAGCAAAUGGCGAACCAUUUGUUUGCCGGUGCUUGAUGAAUAAGCCCCGGCUAAUUAUGUGCCAGCAGCCGCGGUAAGACAUAAGGGGCAAGUGUUAUCCGGAAUUAUUGGGCGUAAAGGGUGCGUAGGCGGUCUAGUAAGUCAGUGGUGUAAUGGCAACGCUUAACGUUGUCCGGCUAUUGAAACUGCUAAACUUGAGUUAGAUAGAGGCGAGUGGAAUUCCAUGUGUAGCGGUAAAAUGCGUAAAUAUAUGGAGGAACACCAGAGGCGUAGGCGGCUCGCUGGGUCUUAACUGACGCUGAGGCACGAAAGCGUGGGGAGCAAACAGGAUUAGAUACCCUGGUAGUCCACGCCGUAAACGAUGAGUACUAAGUGUCGGGUUAAACCGGUACUGAAGUUAACACAUUAAGUACUCCGCCUGAGUAGUACGUACGCAAGUAUGAAACUUAAAGGAAUUGACGGGACUCCGCACAAGCGGUGGAUCAUGUUGUUUAAUUCGAAGAUACCCGAAAAACCUUACCAGGUCUUGACAUGUUUUUGCAAAAUGAUAGUAAUAUCGUGGAGGUUACCAGAAACACAGGUGGUGCAUGGUUGUCGUCAGCUCGUGUCGUGAGAUGUUAGGUUAAGUCCUAAAACGAGCGAAACCCUUAUCGUUAGUUGCCAGCACGUUAUGGGUGGGGACUUUAACGAGACUGCCAAUGAUAAAUUGGGAGGAAGGUGAGGAUCACGUCAAAUCAGCAUGCCCCUUAUGACCUGGGCUACAAACGUGAUACAAUGGCUGUUACAAAGGGUAGCUGAAACGCAAGUUCUUGGCCAAUCCCCAAAAACAGUCCCAGUCCGGAUUGAAGUCUGCAACUCGACUUCAUGAAGUCGGAAUCGCUAGUAAUCGCGAAUCAGCAUGUCGCGGUGAAUACGUUCUCGGGGUUUGUACACACCGCCCGUCA
rnacentral:rRNA from 1 species